UUCUUGUUCGUUGUCGGGUUUGUCGCUUUCCCUCAGCGUAAAAUAAUCGUGUAAAUUACAUAUAAAUGACUGUAAAAGUUACAUAUUCACCCAAGAUUGACAUUCAACAUGAAUAUUUUUAUUUGAAUCUGGAGUGCAAUGGGUCCGUCAGGAGACGAAAUAAACCCAGAGCUCAGGGAUUUGGUGGAAGACACCCGAGAAAAAUCUGAAGACAAGUUUAACGACGUUCUUUCAAAAUUAAAAGAACUUCUAGACAAGAAGUCUUUAGGAGAUCAGAGGGAUCUGGAGGUGUGUAAACAGAGACUUUACACUCAUGGUGUGCUGCUGUACUGCUCCUCUUCUCUGAGAUUCAGUCCAGCCAGGAUUCAAGGAGGCUAUGCAGCCCUCGCACAGAUGGCAGACCUCCUCAGCACAUGUUGCGUUGGUCUGGCUGCUUUCAGAGACAUCGAGGUGUUCAGUCAUGAAUUUCUGCCAUCAGUGGUCGAAAGUCUUCUUUUUCUUGCAGAGCGUCUCAUGAACAGAGCUCUGAGGGAUAAGACACCUAGCGAGAUGAUUCGUUUGUUUAGAAAAGUCUUUGAUUCCAUUGGCUGGCUUCUCAGGGCUGACGGGCAUCUCAUUCAUCAUGUGCUAAGAUGUAAACAUUACGAGAGUGUUCAGAUCUGUGAGGACGAUGACGUCUCUGUUGUUACGGUCAACUUGUGGAACGAUAUCUUCAGGACAAACAGUGGCGUCUUGGCUGAAAUGGGAAACAGGGCACUGACCGACAUCAUGGAUGAUAUUGUGUAUAAAAUGUCCAGUAGCUCAAACCCUGUGAUUGGCAGAGCAGCAGUAAAGACUCUUGUUCUGAUUUUAGACCACAGCAGCUCUACACAUCAGCUCAUUCAGAGGCGAUACAGAGGUUUGUCUGAUUUGGCCGAGAAAGACUGGCGUGGUAAAGGCUUUGACUCAGCAUUGGAUCAGCUUAUUGACCACCUGCAAUCAGACGUCCUAUGGAGAGAACCGAAGGAGUCGUCUGAGGAGCGUGUGAGGGCAGCGAGUGUGAUUCAGGCAGCCUGGAGAGCUCAUCAGACCAGAAGAAGACUGAAGAAACUCCCCAGAGCCGUCAGCACUAUACAACGCAGCUUCAGGGAAAAGCGGAGACAACAGCAGGAACACACUGAGAGACGACGUGCAGAAGAGGAAUUACGCCAUCAAGUGUGUUUGAGAAGACAGAGAGCCAUGAGACUGUUCCGCCAACACCAGCUGCAUCUGAUGGAGAUUCUACCAGCGGGUCAGGUGCAGAGAUACCUGGGGGAGCUGGAGAACAAGGCUGCGCUGGUGAUUCAGAGAGUGUGGAGAGGACACAGAGAGAGACACCACUUCCAGCAGCACAAACACAUCCUCAGACGACACAGAGCUGCUGUCACUCUGCAGAGAGCCGUUCUGCUUUUUUUAAAACGUCGUAAAGCAAAGAGGAAUAUUCUCACGCCACUGAAAGCACCCAAAGGACUGACAGACAGCAGAAGAACGGAGCUCAGAAAGCAGAUUCAGGAGCACAUCACUCUACAUCCCUCAUCUGUGCAGUCAGCAGAGGGCAGUGCAGAGCUCCAUCAGAGAGCACAGAGUCUCCUCCACCAUCACCUGAUCAACAGAGCGUCUGAUCGGGCACAGCAGCAGCACAGACAGGCUCUACUCGCACAGAUCAACACAGACAUAGAGCUUUUGCUAAAUGCACCAUCUCUGAGGGAUGUCAGAGAGGAGGAUGUGAGUCUGUUCCUGAGCCGCUCAUGUCCGGUAGCCACACGUGCCCGUCAAUCCCAUAAUGCCUUGCUACAGAGCAUGCGUCUACCUUGGUGGAGGACCCUGGGAGAUGAUUUAUCCAACCCAGAAGAGCCCAGGAAAGACUACGACAUGGACAUUGAGUCACUGUAUCUCGGUGGAAGCUGAAAGAUGAUCACAGGCUUGAUGAAGACACUCUUUAUUUGCAAAAGAUGUUUUAUAUCGGAGUACUUGAAAGAACGGUACAUUUGAACAGGUUUUAUGAAAAUAAUACAUCUGAAGUUUACCACGACAAGACUUUAAAACUGACACUCAAUAUUCACGAUGAUGAAGAACUGCAGUGUCAGAAUUCAUUCAUUUUCCUUCGGCGAAGUCUCUAUUUCAGCAGUUGCCACAGCGGAAUGAACCACCAACUAUUCCAGCAUAUGUUUUACACAGCGGACGCCUUUCCAGCCGCAACUCAAAACAAAUGCUCUCAUCUGGAGUUUUCUACAGCAAACAAAAGAACUUUUGACAUCGAAUGAUUUUCCAGAGGUAAAUAUAGUGAAUAUGUGACAAUGUUCACAAGAUGUGGAAACACUGAGUGAGUAAUUAGUUGUUUAUUAAUGUUUAUUUCAUCUGACUUCUAGUAAGAAUAAGGAAUGAUCACCUUCAUCAGAAUUUCCAGAAAAUAUGGACAGAUUUUGAAAGACAAAAUUUAGUUUCUUAUCAUAAGUAACAGAACACAAUCAUUAUUGGACAUUAUGUGCGGUACGUUAUGUCUGUUUUUUUUUUUCUUUUCAUUUUUAAUAUGUGGGUUAGGGUGGCCUCACAGCAAGAAGGUCGCUGAUUCGAGUCCCGGCUGAGCCAGGUGUCAUUUCU